UCGCCGGGCACCGCAAACUCACGUUCUCAAUCUCAAGCAACGUUUAAGUAACGCGGAGAUACAGGCGAUCAGAGAGUCGUAAUACAACCAAGCUACAGGGCAGGCCGCAGCGCUUCCGGCUUCCAACCUUACUCUUUUUGCUCGCUCCAACUCCUUUUUCGGGCCUAACACGAGAUCUUCACACGUCACUUCUUGAUAAUAAUAGACCAAAAAUUGGUCACCAAUCUGAUAAGCGUUGCGAGAUUCAAUGGCAAUCUUUUUUCACUCUUGAGGAAGUUGGCGCUUCUUCUAUACAGCAACGGGCUUUUCGGCAGCAGCGCCUCUAGAAAUUCGGCGGUUCGUCCUGACUGGGUUGGCUGAAGAACGAGAAGAAAGAGGAGGCUGCGUUUGCUGCUUGUGUGUAUGCGUGGGCAAGACGUUUUAUCGCCCGAGUAGAUAUCGGCCGUAUAUGAAGGGGCUCGUAGGCAAAAUAAUACCACUCCCCGCUCUUCCUCAGCGGCUUUUCCAGUCUUAUCGCUCUUGCUUUUGAGGAACUCUCUUAACCUUGCAAUAAUACGUAUAUCAGGCGUGAAUCUGUAAUGACAGAGGCAGGGCGGGAUGAGAGCCAAUGAGCGGUUCGAAGUAAAUCGGGCACGGGUAAUGAGUCACGUAAAGUUACGGAAGAACUGUGAGAACAUAGUAAAAUAAUCGUGUUUCUGACAAGCAUCCAAGUGAUUCUCUUUGCCAGAAGUAGCGCAAGCUGGGAAGAUGGGGAAAGGUCCGUCAGGAUGAGGACAGACGUUCGCGUCACAGGGAUUCGUUCCGGCGGCUUCGUCGGUACAAGGACCAGACCGAUUACCUUCGAGCAGGAGACUGUGGAAUAGGGUCAAGCCGGAAAUCAAUGUGAGAAUCAGGAAAGAAGAAAUGGAUCCAACAGUGUUUAUAGACGAAUGGGCCGAUAAAAUGCAUGUGGAGUAU
rnacentral:sRNA from 1 species